GUGACCUCGAUCAGGUAGAAACCC
rnacentral:rRNA from 1 species